rnacentral:lncRNA from 1 species
CGGGGAGCGCCCCGCUGCGAGCCAAACAAUCCCGGCUGCGAAACAGCCCCCCGGGGAGGCCUGCUUUCCUUGCAGCUCCCACACCCCACCCCGCCGCGCACGCAGCCUGCCCACCCGGAGGCCCUGGGCUCCCCGCUACUACACACCCCGCGCUUCCUUCCUGGCUCUCGGUAGCCCGCCGCGGUCCUCCAUUCUUUGGCUCCUCCUCGGUAUGCAUAAUAAUCCGUGGUGGGCAAGGUCCGGCGUAGUGUGCGCUCCGAAGAGUCCCCUUUCAAGUUUCAGUUCAAGCCACGGGAGGAUUUUGAAAGCUCCGAUGUUUCUAUAUUUUUAUGGAAGGUCGUGGAAGGAGGCUAGUUCCUCUCCACCCCUUGCUGCUCUGGAACAUCGGCGAUGCUGAAAGUUGUUGGUGCUGUAAGAGGCCAUUCCCUGCCUGUGUCCCCGCCUGCAAGGAGAGACAACGCUCUGGUACCUUCGGGAUGCAGUUUUGCUGCCGCCAGUGCCAUGCUUUGAAAUGUUUGUGGAUGAAAGGGACACAACAGACUCCUGCUCUCGUUUCCCUUCAGGGUCCCAUGAGCUCCCCACACUUUCUUGUCACAACUUCUCACCUCAGGGGAUGGCAGGUCGAGGAGGAAAGGGUUUUUCCUGGCUUAUGCUCCCACAUCAGCUCUGGUUCUGCCACACCACCUCCCAUCAGCCUCCAGGAUUCUUGUCCCUCAGGUAAACAGGAUUUUAGCAUCAGAAUUUAGGGUGAAAUUUCUAAAGAGGUAGAACAAACACACACAAUGAAUGGGCUAUCCCUGAGGUUAGGGGGAAUUAAAGAGCAGAGGGCUCGGCUGGAAAUGGCACACUGAGCCAACAGGCUGGGCUGGAGGGACAGCUCAGGGAAGGACACUUGUGCCACAGAAACCAAAAGGAGGCAGCCAUCAGGCAAGCAAUUGGAACAGAACCACUCAAAGUUUGGGGCAGGGAGGUGACAUGAGAAAGCUGUACUAGGUGAUGGCUUUCUAGGCUACACCAUGGUAGAGUGGACCAGAGUGAGGGUCAUAUGACCUUUCAAACAAUUGGUCAUUCAUUCAUUCAUUCAUUCAUUCAUUCAUUCAUCAUUCAUUUGUUCUAUCAGUUUUCUCCCUUCCGUUUCCACCUGAGCCCUGGUGACUGCUCGUCUCUCCCCCUACCUGAGUCUCCUCUAGACUCCCUCUUCUUUUGCAAUCCUAUCCUAGCAUUGGCAUGGUGCCUG